rnacentral:tRNA from 1 species
UGUUGGCGUGGCAGAGCUCGGUAAAUGCAGGAGGCCUAAGACCUCCCCUCCAGAGGUUCAAAUCCUCUCUCCAACU